rnacentral:lncRNA from 1 species
AUGUUCCAAAGGGUCCUCAGGCAGCUUUUACAGGCUACGGUAAGGUUCUCACUUGUGUUAAAACUUGUUUUUCUCAUUAUCAAUGAUUUAAAACAUUUUUUUAAAAAAUGUAUUAAUGAUAUUAUUGCUUGGGUAGAUUUUGUUUUGAUAGUUGUUUGGCAGUCAUCUGCCUCCUGUCAUCAUGAAGAAGCUGCUACUUAUCACAGUCUUCCUGGCAGUCCAUGCUGUCGGUGUGGAGAGUUUCCGUGUCUCAAGGCAGGCAGAGACCCAAUCCCCCAUGGUGUCCCUGUGGUCUGUGUAUGACCAAGCCAUGGAACAUACCGGCAAGGCAGUUGGAGAAGAGAACCUUGCUGCAGCUUUAAAGUAUGUCUUGGCCAAAGUGUUCCUCCACUCUCUUCUGUAGUACUGAAAGAAUAAAGACAAAUACAGACUGUUGUAUCCCA